CAGAAAGUAAACUGUGGUAGCAACAGAACUCCAUACAUUCCCGUAACACUCAAAGGUACUGUAGCCAUCCUGUAGCUUGAGCACCGCUCUCCCGUCAUCCGUAUGAAGGAAGACACCUGAUUUGGAUUGGUCUCUUGACUGUUUCCCUGAAGGCAUAUAUAGAUCACAGCGUUGACAAGGACUUCCCAGGGCUGAAGACGUUCAGGGCAUUCAGCUCCAUCUCUGAAUAAAUCAGGGCAGAGUUGGCAGUGCCAGACAGGUGUGCCCUGCUCCCAGCAUCAGGCCUGGACCCAGUGGAUUUGCAAGUCAAGAAUUCCAGAGAAAAUGAUAUUCUUGGAGCUGCUGGUAUCCUUCGAGCUUCGUAUGACUUUGAAAGAAAAAAAAUACCCACUUAAUCCUGAGUGCCUCCAAAUCAUAUUUGCUGAUAAACCCUGGAUUUAAGUUGUAAACAAAUUAAAGAUUAAAAACUUUCCUUUGGCA
rnacentral:lncRNA from 1 species